rnacentral:rRNA from 1 species
AUAAGAGCAUAUGGUGGAUGCCUUGACACUAAAAGGCUAAGAAGGACGUUGUAGGGUGCGAUAAGCCUCGGUGAGGUCCCAAACAACCUUUGACCCGGGGAUUUCCGAAUGGGGAAACCCGUCCCGACUUGAUCGGGACAGUGCAUGCUGAAUACAUAGGUAUGCAAAGCAAACCUGGUGAAGUGAAACAUCUCAGUAACCAGAGGACAAGAAAUCGCAGAGAUUCCCUUAGUAGUGGCGAGCGAAAAGGGAACAGUCUAAACCGUAUAAAUGUUUCUAUAAAAACUGGUUUAUCGUAAGAUUACCGUGAUUUAUAGAUUAAAGGACAGGCCGUUGUUUAUACGGGGUAAUAAGAUAGUGACGCCAAUUACCUGAUAUAUUGGACAAUCGUUUAAAAUUUAACAGAAUAAACUGGAAAGUUUAACCACAGAAGGUAAUAGUCCUGUACGUGAAAAAUUUUAAUCGGUUGCAGUCAUUAUUCUUGAGUAGGACGGAACUCGUGAAAUUCCGCCUGAAUUUGGGCCGACUAUGGUCUAAGACUAAAUACUUUUAGUGAUCGAUAGUAAACAAGUACCAUGAGGGAAAGGUGAAAAGCAGCCCGGGAGGGCGAUGAAAUAGUAUCUGAAACCGUAUGCUUACAAAGAGCCAGAGCCGGUGUUAUACACUGAGGAAUUUUAAAAUUAAAUUUUGAUUCUUUAGUGUAUAACGUCGGUGAUGGUAUUCCUAUUGAAGAAUGAGCCUGCGAGUGUGUGUGUGUCGCGAGCUUAAGCCCUUAUGGGGCGGAGGCAUAGCGAAAGCGAGUCUUAACGGGCGCCUAAGUGGCAUAUACACGACCCGAAACCGGGUGAGCUAUCCAUGACCAGGAUGAGUCCUGUAGAAAUACAGGAGGAGGUCCGAACCCACGCGCUGUGCAACACGCGGGGAUGAGUUGUGGAUAGGAGAGAAAUUCUAAUCGAACUCGGUGAUAGCUGGUUCUCCUCGAAAUAGCUCUAGGGCUAGCCUUGAGUGUUCCUUUUGGUGGUAGAGCACUGGAUAAGAAUUGGGUCCUUCGGGAUACCGUUCUCAAUCAAACUCCGAAUGCCAAAAGUUAAAAACUCAGGAGUCAGACGGUGACGGCUAAGCGCCAUCGUCAAAAGGGAAACAGCCCAUGAUCAUAAGCUAAGGCCCCUAAAUCCAUGUUAAGUGUAAAAGGUGGUUCUAAUUCUUAAACAACCAGGAUGUUGGCUUAGAAGCAGCCAUCAUUUAAAGAUAGCGUAACAGCUCACUGGUCAAGAGUUUUAGCGCCGAAAAUGUAUCGGGGCUCAAACAUGGUGCCGAAGCUAUGGGAUGUCACAAGAAACUUUCUGUUCAACAGAAAAUCCUUAAAUAACAUUUCUCAGAAAAAAUUAUUUAUAAUUUUUUCUGCAAAUGAGAGAAAGGAACAAAUAAGUUGAAUGAAGGGUUUCUUGUGGCAUCGGUAGAGGAGCGUUCUUAACGCGCAGAAGCCAAAGACGUGAGUCAUGGUGGAGUGUUAAGAAGUGAGAAUGCAGGCAUAAGUAGCAAAAAGGCAUGUGAGAAUCAUGCCCGCCGUAAACCCAAGGUUUCCAGGGCAACGAGAAUCGUCCCUGGGUUAGUCGAUCCUAAGGCGAGGCCGAAAGGCGUAGUCGAUGGAAGAGCAGGUCAAUAUUCCUGCACUUUAUAUAGUUUGGUUUAGCUGCGCAUUAGAAAGCUUUGAGCGUGUUUUGAAUAUACACGUUUCGCAAGAUAGAGAUGAAGCCUCCGGGUGGAUUCAAUUCAAGGGGAUUUGGUGCCAAGAAAAGGCGAAAAUCGUUAAGCUAUAUAAAAUCGUACCGUAAACCGACACAGGUGGGUGAGUCGAGUAGACUAAGGCGUACGAGAGAACCUUCGCUAAGGAACUCUGCAAUACAACGGCCGUAACUUCGGGAUAAGGCCUGCCCCGUUUAUCGGGGUUACAACAAAAGACGCACUGCGACUGUUUACCAAAAACACAGCUCCCUGCAAAAGCGCAAGCUGAAGUAUAGGGGGUGAUGCCUGGCCAGUGUCAGAACGUUAAGGGGAGAGGUUAGACGCAAGUCAAAGCCUUGAACCGAAGCGCUGAUGAACGCCGGCGGUAACUAUAACCGUCCUAAGGUAGUGGAUUUAAUUCUUGAAUCUACUAGGAUUGGGACGGAUAUAGCGAUAUGUAAACAAUCGAUUUAAUUUAAACGAUGCAGACGUUUAAAAUAACAGCCAUUUAAAAAGCUGCCUUAUUUUACAGUAAUGUAAAAUGUAAUCCAAUCAUAGCCGUAUGCUGGGAAGCUCAGAAAUGAGCGAUCAGCAGGAAACCAAUUAUGAAUCGUUUAAUUGGGAUCCUCAGAGACUAAACGCUAUGCCCCCGAUGUAAAAUCGGGGUGAAGAUAUAGUCCUUCGCAAAAAGGAAGCGAAAAGCGAAAUUCCUUGUCGGGUGAGUUCCGACCUGCACGAAUGGCAUAACGAUGGUGCGACUGUCUCAGCGAGGGACUCGGUGAAAUUGCAAGGGAGGUGAAGAUGCCUCCUACCCGCAACUAGACGAAAAGACCCCGUGAAGCUUUACUACAAUUUGAUAUUGGUAUAAGGUUAUUUAUGUUCAGCGUAGGUGGGAGCCGCAAGGCGCCAAUGAGACACCACCCUUAAAUUAUUUUAUAUCUAAUUUUCUCCCUUGAAUCAGGGAGAGAAGACAGUGUCUGAUGGGUAGUUUAACUGGGGCGGUUGCCUCCUAAAAUGUAACGGAGGCGUUUACAAAGGUCAGCUUAGCUCGGAUGGAAAUCGAGCUGGACGCGCAAACGCACAAGCUGGCUUUACUGCAAGGACAACGAUCCGAGCAGUUACGAAAGUAGAAGUUAGUGAACCGACCAUCCUAUAUAGGAAGGUGGAAGAUCAACGGAUAAAAGCUACUCCGGGGAUAACAGGCUGAUCGCGCCCAAUAGUCCACAUAGACGGCGCGGUUUGGCACCUCGAUGUCGGCUCAUCGCAUCCUGGGGCUGAAGAAGGUCCCAAGGGUUUGGCUGUUCGCCAAUUAAAGCGGUACGCGAGCUGGGUUCAGAACGUCGUGAGACAGUUCGGUCUCCUAUCUGUUGCGGGCGUAGAAUGUUGCGAAGUCUCAUUCCUAGUACGAGAGGACCGGAAUGAACGAACCUCUAGUGUACCAGUUGUUCCGUCAGGAGCAUCGCUGGGUAGCUAUGUUUGGUUAAGAUAAACGCUGAAAGCAUAUAAGCGUGAAGCUGUCUUCUAGAUUAACAUUCGUUAUAGACCCCUCGUAGAUUACGAGGUUGAUAGGCGUUAGGUGUAAGCAUAGUAAUAUGUUGAGCUGAGGCGUACUAAUUGGUCGAGCGUACGACAA